rnacentral:rRNA from 1 species
GCAGUCGUACGAGAGUUUUUAACUCUAGUGGCGGACGGGUGAGUAACACGUGAGGAUUUGCCUUUAGGAGGGGGACAACAAUCGGAAACGAAUGCUAAUACCCCAUAUGCUUUCGAGUGAAAUGGAUUUUAUCCGCCUAGAGAGAAGCUCGCGGCUGAUUAGCUUGUUGGUAAGGUAAGAGCUUACCAAGGCGACGAUCAGUAUCUGGUUUGAGAGGACGAUCAGACACACUGGAACUGAGACACGGUCCAGACUCCUACGGGAGGCAGCAGUGGGGAAUUUUCCGCAAUGGGCGAAAGCCUGACGGAGCAAUACCGCGUGAGGGAAGAAUGCCUAUGGGUUGUAAACCUCUUUUUUCAGGGAGGAAUCAAAUGACGUGUACCUGAAGAAUAAGCAUCGGCUAACUCCGUGCCAGCAGCCGCGGUAAGACGGAGGAUGCAAGUGUUAUCCGGAAUCACUGGGCGUAAAGCGUCUGUAGGUGGUUUAAUAAGUCAACUGUUAAAUCUUGAUGGCUCAACUUCAAAAUCGCAGUCGAAACUAUUAGACUAGAGUAUAGUAGAGGUAAAGGGAAUUUCCAGUGGAGCGGUGAAAUGCGUAGAUAUUGGAAAGAACACCGAUGGCGAAAGCACUUUACUGGGCUAUUACUAACACUCAGAGACGAAAGCUAGGGUAGCAAAUGGGAUUAGAUACCCCAGUAGUCCUAGCUGUAACAAUGGAUACUAGAUGUUGACAGAUCGACUGUGCAUAUCAAGCUACGCGUUAGUAUCCGCCUGG